rnacentral:rRNA from 1 species
GAAGAACGCUGGCGGCGUGCCUAAUACAUGCAAGUCGAGCGAAGCGGCGGAUGGGUGAGUAACGCGUGGGUAACCUGCCCUUAAGUCUGGGAUACUCUUUGGAAACAGAUGCUAAUACCGGAUCCUAACGGAUUGACCUGCGUUGCCUUCGCUAGUUGGUAAGGUAACGGCUUAACAAGGCGAUGAUGCAUAGCCGAGUUGAGAGACUGAUCGGCCACAUUGGGACUGAGACACGGCCCAAACUCCUACGGGAGGCAGCAGUAGGGAAUCUUCCACAAUGGACGAAAGUCUGAUGGAGCAACGCCGCGUGAGUGAAGAAGGUUUUCGGAUCGUAAAGCUCUGUUGUUGGUGAAGCGGUAAUCAACCAGAAAGUCACGGCUAACUACGUGCCAGCAGCCGCGGUAAUAC